GACGAACGCUGGCGGCGUGCCUAAUACAUGCAAGUUGAGCGCUGAAGGUUGGUACUUGUACCAACUGGAUGAGCAGCGAACGGGUGAGUAACGCGUGGGGAAUCUGCCUUUGAGCGGGGGACAACAUUUGGAAACGAAUGCUAAUACCGCAUAAAAACUUUAAACACAAGUUUUAAGUUUGAAAGGUGCAAUUGCAUCACUCAAAGAUGAUCCCGCGUUGUAUUAGCUAGUUGGUGAGGUAAAGGCUCACCAAGGCGAUGAUACAUAGCCGACCUGAGAGGGUGAUCGGCCACAUUGGGACUGAGACACGGCCCAAACUCCUACGGGAGGCAGCAGUGGGGAAUCUUCGGCAAUGGACGAAAGUCUGACCGAGCAACGCCGCGUGAGUGAAGAAGGUUUUCGGAUCGUAAAACUCUGUUGGUAGAGAAGAACGUUGGUGAGAGUGGAAAGCUCAUCAAGUGACGGUAACUACCCAGAAAGGGACGGCUAACUACGUG
rnacentral:rRNA from 1 species